rnacentral:rRNA from 1 species
AUUGAACGCUGGCGGCAGGCCUAACACGUGCAAGUCGAGCGGUAGAGAGGUGCUUGGAUCUCUUGAGAGCGGCGGACGGGUGAGUAAUGCCUAGGAAUCUGCCUAGUGUGGGGGAUAACGUUCGGAAACGGACGCUAAUACCGCAUACGUCCUACGGGNGAAAGCGGGGGAUCUUCGGACCUCGCGCCAUUACGAUGAGCCUAGGUCGGAUUAGCUAGUUGGUGAGGUAAUGGCUCACCAAGGCGACGAUCCGUAACUGGUCUGAGAGGAUGAUCAGUCACACUGGAACUGAGACACGGUCCAGACUCUACGGGAGGCAGCAGUGGGGAAUAUUGGACAAU